CUGCUCAACAACAGGAAAAUUGUUCCUGGUACAGGAAACCUAGCCAGUUACCCAGGGCUCAUACAUUCAUGGAUGUUGGAGAAGAACUUAACUACCACUACUCUACUAAGCCAGCAUAAUUGCUAACACCAUUCUAAAUAUUUGUCUUUGUGCCCACAGCUAAUUGCAGUCCUCACUCCUCAUUAAAGAAAUUUAUCUUUGCAACAAAUAGAGAUCAUUACUGAAAACCACAGCUAAUCAAAAGGCAAAGCUAAGGAGCCUAGCCACAGUGAAUGCAUUUAUAAAAUCCUCCCAUCCGUAAGGCUCAGGGAACAUUGUGGAAGGGGCAGAAAGACUGUAAGAUCCAGAGGAUGAGAGGGUGUGCUAUGAGACUGUCAGCAAACAACCUGGGUUUGUCUAAGAAUGUCAGCAGCUACAUCCAUAAAGCCUGACAACAGAACCGCCUAAGUGAGCCGACCAAGGACACCAACAGUAGACUGCCAAGUGGAGUGCAGAGAAACCAGGAGUCCCCAACCCUACAGAAAGAACUAAAGCAGCAAAGGAUUGCUGAGAGCAAGAAGGAUAGUCUUCCCAGUGUCGCAGCAAUGCUGAUUGCCAAUGACUUUGAGAGCAAACCUGAUCAGAACAGGCAGUUCCAGGAACAAAUAUGGAGCUUGCUUAAUUAAAAGAGGAGUCCAAUGCAGCAUUCUUGUGGGUUGUUUCAUUCAGUCUACAGAAAGAGCAUUCUUAUUCUCUAGUGGAGGUUAUUUGUGGUGAAUUUGACUGAAUUUCCUAUUAAAAGAAAGAAAAAUGUCAACACAAAGAAGACAAUUUAUAAGUCCAGUUAUACAAGCCCAAUCUGAGCCUUCUGUUUAUUAUAAUAAAUAAUC